UACGUAGGGUGCAAGCGUUAAUCGGAAUUACUGGGCGUAAAGCGUGCGCAGGCGGUUCGUCAAGUCUGAUGUGAAAGCCCCGGGCUCAACCUGGGAAUGGCAUUGGAAACUAGCGGGGUUGAGUGUGGCAGAGGGGGGUGGAAUUCCACGUGUAGCAGUGAAAUGCGUAGAGAUGUGGAGGAACACCGAUGGCGAAGGCAGCCCCCUGGGCUAACACUGACGCUCAUGCACGAAAGCGUGGGGAGCAAACAGG
rnacentral:rRNA from 1 species